rnacentral:lncRNA from 10 species
UUUCAUGUUGCCUCAAUAGCCCAUGUAUGAAUCACUCUUCUUGCAGAUUUUGUUCAGUUUUGUUGUAUGUAGACCCAUCUUUCUUUGAUUGAGUUGGUUUCUUUGAUUGAGUUGAUUUGUCUGUAUUAUAUAUCAGUCAGUAUUAAAACCCAAACAAUACCUAAGCCAAAAAAGCAAGGUAGGCACCUGUGAACUCACACACUUGGUUGCAAUUGCUUCAGUAAAAAGGACAGUUUACACUCAAAUUGAAGCAACCAUUAUGUUUCCACAAACAACAUUCCUUAUUAUCCCACCUCACCUUUUCAUUCUUCCUAUGCUGUCUAAUCUGAUUCGGUACAAGAGAUAAGGCAGGUACUGCUAAAUGAUAACUUAGAUGCAGGGGCCAUCAUGAAAAUAUUCAUCCCAUAUCUUACAUUAAGCAAACUACUAGCAACUGUUUGUUGAAAAGUAUAAAUGAAUAAAUGAAAAUAGGACAGAUAGGCAGUGUGGGAAGCUAAAAUAUGGAAGUGUUAUUGCUUUGCUUUAUGUGGUAUAAUGAUCUGACUUUAUCUUCCCAGCUCUCCCAGGAAGUAUGCAGAAUAAUAUUUAUCUCAUAUUGUGGAUGUGGCAAUCAAGACAGAGAGGCUAGAUGCUUUACCUAAAGUCAUCCAACAAAUAUUUGGUAGAACCAGUGCUAGAAUGCAAUAAAUGGAAACAGAGUUUAUUUUUGUGUUUCUUUUCCUAAUACUUGCCCUAUUCCUGACAAAUGAAUAAUGGCUUCAGAAGGUGUCACUUGUUGCUAGGGCUAAAAGGAUAAAUUUUACCUGUAAUACCGUACCACUUACUAUUAGUUAACGACCCAGUAUUUAUUCUCUUUUUUUCUUUGGAAUCUUUGGAAUGUGUAAAUAUUUGCCUCCCGGGAAGCUCACUUUAUCCUCUCCUCAGGAAAAAAUCCUGAUUUGGUCUGAACCAAUCUUGGUAACUAUCUUUCUUGCCAGUUUUGUUUUAGGAAUGGGCACGCAACUCAGUUCUAGCCAAUGAGAUAUGAGGAGCAGUCUACUGGGGAGUUUCUGGGAAAGUUUGUUUUUCUUGUCCUAAUAAGCAAACAAGUAAUGGGGUCACUGGAUUGGAGAUCCUAUUGAGUCAAAGGAAUAUUGAAUUUGACACAGUAAAAUAGUCUGGAAGGAAAGGAAAUGAUAUUCAGUAAAUGAAAUGCUGAAAAUUGAUAUUAUGAAGGUGGCACAGUAGUUGUUAUUGAUUAAAUGAAACAGUUGAGAUUAAGAAAGUUUAGCCAGGACAAGUUGUAUAGCACAAAUCAUUUCAGGUAAGGAAGUUAAAAAAAAAACCCUGAGAGGCUAGGAAGUCCUGGCUCCAAACUUCUGCUCCUGCUGGACUUGAGCCCCACUAGCUUCUCAUCUUCCACUAAUCUAUGCACCCCUCCUUUCCCACUCCUCAAAAGCCGAGCUCACUCAACAACUUUAAUUUUAUUCAAAUAAAUUAUUUACACAGACAUUUUGUUUUUAGUAGAUGUUAUUAGUGAUUAGGAAAAAUGAAAGAGAUUGACAUCUUUCAAUUGACAGAGAUGCCAAUAAUUUUAAGUAUAAUUUUUUAAACACUUUGUUCUUAAAAUGAGAAAGAAAUGCAAGGAAGGGAUCACUACCCUGGGUGUUAGCAUGUCCGAAUAUGAUAACUAAACCUGCUGCAAUUAUCUUGCAACCAGGGAGGAGCUAGCUUGAAAAUAAAGCCAACACAGUUAGAUGACAAGCAGAAAGUGGAAAGAACCUAAGUCAUUGAUGAUGCUAUUCAGCUGAUGAAUUAAACCUGGAGUGUAUGUUCCAUGGGCUUCUGUAAGGAAUUAAAAUAUUU